rnacentral:rRNA from 1 species
CCUACGGGAGGCAGCAGUGAGGAAUAUUGGUCAAUGGGCGGAAGCCUGAACCAGCCAAGUAGCGUGCGGGAUGAAGGCCCUACGGGUCGUAAACCGCUUUUGCACGGGGAUAACACCCUCCACUUGUGGAGGUCUGCAGGUACCGUGCGAAUAAGGGCCGGCUAAUUCCGUGCCAGCAGCCGCGGUAAUACGGAAGGCCCGAGGGUUAACCGGAUUUAUUGGGCUUAAAGGGAGCGUAGGCGGGCGUUCAAGUCAGCGGGAAAAUCGCGCGGCUCAACCGCGCCCCGAAGUUGAAAAUGGACGCAUUGAGUUCACAACAGGCAGGCGGAAUGCGUGGUGUAGCGGUGAAAUGCAUAGAUAUCACGAGGAACCCCGAUUGCGAAGGCAGCCUGCCGGGGUGCGACUGACGCUGAGGCUCGAAGGUGCGGGUAUCAAACAGGAUUAGAUACCCGGGUAGUC